rnacentral:rRNA from 1 species
UACGGAGGGUGCAAGCGUUAAUCGGAAUUACUGGGCGUAAAGCGUGCGCAGGCGGUUUGUUAAGUCUGUUGUGAAAUCCCCGAGCUCAACUUGGGAAUUGCAAUGGAUACUGGCAGGCUGGAGUAUGGUAGAGGAAGGUGGAAUUCCCGGUGUAGCGGUGAAAUGCGCAGAUAUCGGGAGGAACACCAAUGGCGAAGGCAGCUCGCUGGGACGUUACUGACGCUGAGACGCGAAAGCGUGGGGAGCAAACAGGG